rnacentral:rRNA from 1 species
GACGAACCGAGCGAACGUUGUUCGGAAUCACUGGGCUUAAAGGGCGCGUAGGCGGGCUGUCAAGUCUGGGGUGAAAUCCCGCGGCUCAACCGUGGAACUGCCUCGGAUACGGGCGGCCUCGAGGGGGGUAGGGGCAUCUGGAACUGUGAGUGGAGCGGUGAAAUGCGUUGAUAUUCACAGGAACUCCGGUGGCGAAGGCGAGGUGCUGGACCCCAUCUGACGCUGAGAAGCGAAAGCAUGGGGAGCGAACAGG